GACGAACGCUGGCGGCGUGCCUAAUACAUGCAAGUCGACCUUAGUUGCGAACGGGGUAGUAACACGUGGGUAACCUACCCAUCAGAAGGGGAUAACACUUGGACACAGGUGCCAAUACCGUAUACUGAUGGAUGGACCGGCGGUGCAUUAGCUAGUUGGGGAGGUAACGGCGCACCAAGGCCACGAUGCAUAGCCGGCCUGAGAGGGUGAGCAGCCACACUGGGACUGAGACACGGCCCAAACUCCUACGGGAGGCAGCAGUAGGGAAUCUUCGGCAAUGGACGAAAGUCUGACCGAGCAACGCCGCGUGAGUGAAGAAGGUUUUCGGAUCGUAAAACUCUGUUGUUAGAGAAGCGGUAUCUAACCAGAAAGCCACGGCUAACUACGUGCCAGCAGCCGCGGUAAUUC
rnacentral:rRNA from 1 species